rnacentral:tRNA from 1 species
AGCCACCAGCGAGAUUCGAACUCGCGACCCCUGGUUUACGACACCAGUGCUCUAACCUCUGAGCUAUGGUGGC